ACAAAGGUGUUAUUUAACACCAUUUUCAACAAGAAUUAUAUUGCCU
rfam:Nipponia nippon contig35568, whole genome shotgun sequence.